UUUAAAGGUUGGAGCUACACUCAAGCAGCAUCCAGUUUCUCUUUCAGAGUCAAUUAUGGAUCUCACAUCCAGGAAUUUAUCCAAAACUUUAAAAAAAGCUCUAUUUAUUAUUUUUAUCUUGUGUCAUUACUUGGGAUAAUGAGAUCUAUGGGUUAAUCCUUUCCGCUACAAAAUCUUUCAUUAAUCUUUUUUUAACAUUGAUUGACAAUUAGGCUGUUGGAAGAAAUAAAUUUCUCAAAGAGGAAGGUAGACAAAUCAAGACUACCUUCUAACAUGAGCACAAGACUUCUCUUUCUGUGGAAUUAAAUAUAUGCUUCUAGACUUAAAGAUGACAAUAUGCAUCCUUGACUUAUUAAAGUUCAAUAUAAAUUAGUACUUUUUUCAAUUCCUGGACUAUGUUAAGGACAUUGGAAUGUGUCAACUCCCUUUUCCUCCUUCUUAUUUUUUGUGUAUUAUUUUAAUUCUACAUAUAUUCUCUCUCAAGAUAUUAUUUUAUACAGUCAGUAUUAAUUUUGAUUUUCCCAUGUGUUUACCCUUUACAAUGCUCUUCAUUCCUUUCUGCAACUCCUUGCUUCCAUCUGAAAUUCUUUUCCUUUUACCUGAAAAACUAUUUAGUUUUUCCUUUAGUGUCUGUCAGCUACUUAUAAACCAUCUCAGUUUUUGUCUGUCUGGAAAUCUCUUUAUUUCACUUUCAUUUUUGAGUGAUAUUUUUUCUGGGUGUAGAAUUUUAGGUUGUUUAGCUGUCUUUUUGUUUGGGUUUUUUUGUUUCCUUUUUUGCCUUUACAGACAUAAUUUUGUUCUUUGGCUUCCAUUGUUUUUGUUGAAAAAAUAGCUGAAUAUUGUGUCUGCGUAUAAUGUAUUUUUUAUUUUCUUUUACACUAGCUACUUUUGCAAUUUUUCCUUUGUUUUUCAGCUGUUUUACUAUGAUGUAUAUUGUAGUUUCAUUUGUUUCUGGGGUUAUUUCCCUGCUUGGAGUUUGUAACACUUCUUGAAUCUGUGGCUUUAUGUUUUUGUUAGUUUUUAAAUCCUCGGUCAUUUUCUUUUCAAAUAUUGUUUAUGCUACAUUGUUUCUCUCCUUCCAGAUCUCUAAUUACACAAAUGUUUACAUUGGGUCCUGUAUAUCUCUUAGACUCUUUUCUGUAUUUCAUAAAUUUUUUAUCUUGUUAUAAUUAUAGUCAUCUGAAUAAAUAUUUUCUUCUGACCUAUAUUCAAGUUCAUGAAUAUUCUCUUCACUUGUGUCUAAUCUGCUUUUAAGCCCUUCUACCAAGUUCUUAAUUUCAGUCCUACAGUUUUCCUAGAAUUUGGUUCUUCUUAAGGCAGACUCUACAUAUCUUUUAAAAUCAUAACAUUUUUUUUUUCUCUUGGUAUUCAGUCAUUUGGUCCUAUCUCCUGGUAUGCCUGGUAGUUUUUGAAAAGUUCAUGCCAGAAACUAUGCAUGAAAAACUGUAGUGAUAAUUUAAGGUUCUAGCAGAUAUCUUCCUCUAGAGUGAAUUUACUUUUGUUUCUAGCAGGCAGUUUGCUAGGAGAAUAUCUCUUUAAUCUAAUCUGAAAUCAAAAUGAUUCAGAUCUGGGUUUCAGUCUUUGUUAGUGCUAGUCUAUUACCAGACUAGCUUUAUUACCAGUAUAUAGCCUUUCAAGGCUCCCAUCUGAAAGACUGGGAUGUUUAUUAGGACCCUUCCCCUUGACAAUUCUUGAAUCCCAACUUUUGUCCCAUCAGGCCUGUAAGGCUGCCACGAGUUCUGCUCAGCUGCUCAGCAACUGCUAGUGCUUCAAAAUCAGAAAAUGCCUCAUGGGAAAGCAGUUGCAGUUGUCAAACCAUUCACCUCUCUGUUUCCCUUCUCUAUAGCUCAUUAGACAUUAUCCGGGAUCUCAGAUUACAGGGAAUGCAGAGGCAAAAAGGUAAUCUCCAAGCCUCAAACUACUUCCCCACUAGUCUUUUUCCAGUGGCACUAUUAGCAAAAUUAGUUACCAGCAUAAGGCUCACAAUAAACAUGGUUUCCUUCCACUGUGUGCUUCCUAGUGGUGGUGAUGAAAUGUCUAAAGUAAAUAACAGAGAAGUAACAGGAGAGUGAAGAGGAGGAGGAUUUGAAAUCAACAACAACAACAACAAAGAGCUUGUGUCAACUGUUCCUCGGUGUCAAGAAUCAGCUUUAUUUGCAUUCAGUAGACAUCAAAAAAUUGCAGGUUUAAGCCACUGAAAUGAGCUAAGUGACAGAUUUGAGGCAAGAACGGAAUGGGGGCAGUAUGGCAUUUUUGGCCUAAGACCCUAUCCAAGAGAAGUAAAGAGGAGAUUUAGGCUAUUUGCCCAGAAAAGCAGAAAUAUAUGCCAAACACCAGCCAUGGAACAUGGAAAUCCCACGCCAACUUCAGCUCUCAGCCAAACACUCUCCAAGGCCUGACACUCCUCACACUCUGACUCCUCUAGCCCAGGCAAUAAACAGUGUGUUCCUCAUUCUUGCUACUGGACAAAAUUCUAUUAUUUCCCUCUAUACUUCCCAAAACUUCAUUUCUGCCAGUGGAAGCAGUAUGAGGUAUGUGAAGCAUAGUCUCUAGAAUAAGCCUACCUUGGUUCAAAUCUUGGCCCUGACACCUGGGUGAUCUUAGGCAAAUCAUUUAACGUUUCUGAGCUUCAUUCUCCUCAUUGUGAAAUGGGGAUGAUGAUAAUAAUAGUUUUCAAGAUGACAUAAGAUAAUGCUAGUAUAGUGCUUGAAAAAAAAAAAAAAGCAAAAUAAAUACAGGCUAUGGCUAUUCCUUAACUUAAUUCAGGGUUCAGGAGUAUAUACGAAGAUCUUACAUGGUUCUCACCUAUUGGUUCCUACAUUUGAGAGGCAGCCUCAGGAGUGUUAUAGGAGGGAAAAGGAGAGAUAAAAAACAGGAGAGGUUCCUUGGCUUAUAGAUGCAUGGGUAGGGGACAGCAUGACACUGUGUAGCACAGGGAGCUGUGGUGUAGUGUACAGUGUUAUGUGCAGCGUAGUAUAUACAGUAAUGUGGUGUGUAGUGUAGUGUAGUGCACAGUCGUGUCAUGUUGUGUCAUGUGUAUUAGUAUAGGAAUUUGGCUACUAGUCCUCUACCUAGAGUUGGCAACCAUUACCUGGGGAAGGUGUUAAGAGUCCAGGGCCCCAUGCCCCAGUGAUCUGGUUCACUGGAUCUGGGGUAAACCCAGGAGUCUGCAUUUUAAACAAGCUUUCCAGGUUAUUUUGAUGCAGGUGGUUAAUGGCCCACAUUUUGAGGCCCACCAUGAGGCCUUUCUUCAUUAUUUUGGGAUUUAUGCUUCAUGAGCAGGCUUCUUUUAUUCCUUGGUGUUUCUCCAAGGGCCCCUUAGACUCUCGUGCUUCAUAGUGAUCCCAGAUGGGAGACAUUCAGGUACGUGCUGGGAGCCCCAAGGGGUUGCCUGCAUUCUAGCGGCAAUAGGCUUGGCAGCUUUAACCGUCUGUUCCUCUGGGCCCACAUCCUGAACAUCUUUCUCCACUAACCUGUAAUCUUGGAAUUCACCCAGCUUCUUGGGAAGUGGUAGCUUUGGCCUCAGGGGAUAUUGCUGAAAGGAAAUUUUGUUUCUCUGAAAUGCUUUCAGUUUUCUCGAAGAAGAGAAAAAAAAUCCCAAGCUAGAAGCAACGCCACUCUGGGAUACCCCUAAUUCUGAGCUCUAGAACCACUUUAGAGAAGGCAGGAUACCAACCUGGGUUCAAAUCUCAGUUCCAUCACUUACCACUUGUGUGAUGCUGGGCGAGUAAUGUCAUUUCUUAGAAUCUCAAAUAUUUACACUCAAAUUCUUACAUUCAAAUUUUUGACGUGUAAAAUGGGACUGGUAUCUAUACUUGUUUUGCAGGGAUCCCAUGGGGCUUGAGAGAUGCAUGCUGAGGUCUUGGGAGGGGACUUGUUAUAAUGGCUGAACUUUCUAAAGAUUCAGCAAAACAAAAACAUAUGUACAUAUACAUACAUACAUCAAUCUAUAAAGUAAAUAUGGCAUCAUGUUAAGAGCUGUUGAAUCUGGCCGGGCGCGGUGGCUCACUCCUGUAAUCCCAGCACUUUGG
rnacentral:lncRNA from 10 species